GAUGAACGCUGGCGGCGUGCUUAACACAUGCAAGUCGAGCGAGAAGUUUUGAAAAGAUUCUUCGGAUGCAAUUUAAAAUGGAAAGCGGCGGACGGGUGAGUAACGCGUAGGCAACCUGCCCCAUACAAAGGGAUAGCAUUUGGAAACGAAUAUUAAUACCUUAUGAAACUUAACUAGUGCAUGCUAUGUAGGUCAAAGAUUUAUCGGUAUGGGAUGGGCCUGCGUCUGAUUAGCUAGUUGGUGGGGUAACGGCUCACCAAGGCGACGAUCAGUAGCCGACCUGAGAGGGUGAACGGCCACAUUGGAACUGAGACACGGUCCAAACUCCUACGGGAGACAGCAGUGGGGAAUAUUGCACAAUGGGGGAAACCCUGAUGCAGCACCGCCGCGUGAACGAUGCAGGCCUUUGGGUCGUAACGUUCUGUUCUAGGUGAUGAACACUGACAGUAACCUAGGAGAGAGCCCCGGCUAACUGCGUG
rnacentral:rRNA from 1 species